CGCCCUUACGGGAGGCAGCAGCAAGGAAUUUUCGGCAAUGGGCGCAAGCUGACCGAGCAACGCCGCGUGCGGGAUGACGGCCUUCGGGUUGUAAACCGCUUUUCGGGGGGACGAUGAUGACGGUACCCCCGGAACAAGCCCCUGGCUAACUCUGUGCCAGCAGCCGCGGUAAGACAGAGGGGGCGAGCGUUCUCCCGAGUCACUGGGCGUAAAGCGCGCGCAGGGGCAACCUUAGUGUCGUGUGAAAGCCCCCGGCUCAACCGGGGGAGGCCAUGGCAAACUGGGUCGCUCCGAGCUCGCGGAGAGGCCCCUCGCAUUGCCGGUGUAGCGGUGAAAUGGUAGAGAGUCGGCAGGAAGACCAAGGGGGUAAGCCAGGGGGCUUGCCGCAGCUCACGCUUGAGGCGCGACAGGUGGGGGAGCAAACCGAGUAGAUACCCCCGUGGCGGGCUCCCCCGUGUGCUCCCGCUCGCGCGAGACCGAGAGUAGCGCCCGGGCGCCCACGACGCUUUU
rnacentral:rRNA from 1 species